GGUUGAUCCUGCCAGUAGUCAUAUGCUUGUCUCAAAGAUUAAGCCAUGCAAGUCUAAGUACGACUCUCGUAUAGUGAAUCUGCGAAUGGCUCAUUACAUCGGUCAUAAUUUCCUGGACGAGUUUAUCUUACUUGGAUAACUGUGCCAAUUGUAGAGCUAAUACAUGCAAUAGACUGUCUUUUCGGAGACGGUGCUUUUAUUAGAUCAAACGCCGAUGGCACUCGUGCCUCAAGCGGUGAAUCGUGAUAACUCUAGCAUAUCGCACGGUUUCAUACCGGCGAAACGUCCUUCAAGUGACCGCCUUAUCAGCUGUCGAUGGUAGUGUAUUGGACUACCAUGGCAUUAACGGGUAACGGGGAAUUGGGGUUCGAUUCCGGAGAGGGAGCCUGAGAAACGGCUACCACAUCUAAGGAAGGCAGCAGGCACGCAAAUUACCCAUUCCCGAUUCGGGGAGGUAGUGACGAAAAAUAACGAUACGUGGUACUCAUUCGAGAACCCGUAAUUGGAAUGAGUACAAUUUAAAUCCUUUAACGAGGAUCUAUUGGAGGGCAAGUCUGGUGCCAGCAGCCGCGGUAAUUCCAGCUCCAAUAGCGUAUAUUAAAGUUGUUGCAAUUAAAAAGCUCGUAGUUGGAUCUUGGAUACGGGUAUCGCGGUCUGAGCAGUGUCUCUGUACUGCGAUUGCCCUGUCUGUAUUUUCGGAGGCUCGGCGGUGUCCUUCAUUGGGUGCUGUCGGGUGCCGAAGCGUUUACUUUGAAAAAAUUAGAGUGUUCAAAGCAGACACGUUCGUCCGUAUANUUUUGCAUGGAAUAAUGGAAUAAGAGUUGGACUUAUUUUUGUUGGUGUUUAGAGUCUAACUAAUGAUUAACAGGGAUAGACGGGGGCAUCGGUAUCUCGUAGGGAGAGGUGAAAUUCUUUGAUCUACGGGAGACCAACUACUGCGAAAGCAUUUGCCAAGAAUGUUUUCAUUAAUCAGGAACGAAAGUCGGAGGUUCGAAGGCGAUCAGAUACCGCCCUAGUUCCGACCAUAAACUAUGNAACUAGCGAUCUGCCGGCGUUAAUUAUAAGACNNGGCAGGNAGCUUCCGGGAAACCAAAGUGUUNNNNUUCCGGGGAUAGUAUGGUUGCAAUAUUGGAAUUUAAAGGAAUUGACGGAAGGGCACCACCAGGAGUGGAGCCUGCGGCUUAAUUUGACUCAACACGGGAAACCUCACCAGGCCCAGACACGAGAAGGAUUGACAGAUCGAGAGCUCUUUCUUGAUUUCGUGGGUGGUGGUGCAUGGCCGUUCUUAGUUGGUGGAGCGAUUUGUCUGGUUAAUUCCGAUAACGAACGAGACUCAGUCCUACUAUUUAGAAUUGCUACCCUA
rnacentral:rRNA from 1 species